rnacentral:lncRNA from 1 species
GAAAAGUUCAAACUCCUCGGGCUCGAUUCGAAAUUGUGUUCGACUCGGUAACUAAACGAGCCUUAAUCAAAUCUUAUUUUAUACUCAAUAAAUUUACGAAGCAAAUCUGAACAACUCAAUACACGGCUCGACUCGGUUCAUUUACAUCCUUGCUAUAAAAUGACAACCAUGUUCCUAAUUUGUAAUUAUUUUUUCACUAUCACCACCACC